rnacentral:tRNA from 1 species
GGGGAUAUGGUUUAGUGGUAUAAUGCUUCCUUAGCAACAUCAGGUUGCCUUAAUUGGAAGAGGUCCCGAGUUCGAUUCUUGGUGUCUCCA